rnacentral:rRNA from 1 species
AUUGAACGCUGGCGGCAGGCCUAACACAUGCAAGUCGAGCGGAGCGGCGGACGGGUGAGUAAUGCCUAGGAAUCUGCCUGGUAGUGGGGGAUAACGUCCGGAAACGGGCGCUAAUACCGCAUACUAUCAGAUGAGCCUAUGUCGGGUUCGCUAGUGGGUGGGGUAAGGGCCUACCAAGGCGACGAUGCGUAACGGGUCUGAGAGGAUGAUCAGUCACACUGGAACUGAGACACGGUCAGGACUCCUACGGGAGGCAGCAGGGGGGAAUAUUGGACAAUGGGGGAAGGCCUGAUCCAGCCAUGCCGCGUGGGUGAAGAAGGUCUUCGGAUUGUAAGGCCCUUUAAGUUGGGCGGCGUUACCAACAGAAUAAGCACCGGCUAACUACGUGCCAGCAGCCGCGGUAAUUC